AGCUCCAACAACCUUGAGAACAUCCUGAAAACAUCAACAUGAAAGAAAUCUUCCUUCUUGUGGGCUUGGUCUUUGUGCUGGGUGCAGAUGAAAUGUCAAGUCUUAAAGCAGAAGCAUGUGGAGCUGGAAACACCCGGCGCGCUCCACAUGUUGAGAAUGCCCACAAGCCUGCUCAUCCAAGUGAAGAAGCCAUCGACAGUGGGCAUAACCAUAACG